CGGCGAGGGGGAGGCCCUGCUCCGCCCUGCCGCGUGAGCGAUGAAGGCCCUAGGGUCGUAAAGCCCUCCUGUGCGGGAAGAUAAUGACGGUACCGCAAGAAUAAGCCCCGGCUAACUUCGUGCCAGCAGCCGCGGUAAUACGAAGGGGGCUAGCGUUGCUCGGAAUCACUGGGCGUAAAGGGUGCGUAGGCGGAUUUUUAAGUCAGAGGUGAAAGCCUGGAGCUCAACUCCAGAACUGCCUUUGAUACUGGGAAUCUUGAGUAUGACAGAGGUGAGUGGAACUGCGAGUGUAGAGGUGAAAUUCGUAGAUAUUCGCAAGGAGGGGGGGUGGCGAAGGCGGCUCGCUGGGUCAUUACUGACGCUGAGGCACGAAA
rnacentral:rRNA from 1 species